GAUCCUGGCUCAGGAUGAACGCUAGCUACAGGCUUAACACAUGCAAGUCGAGGGGCAGCAUGGUCUUAGCUUGCUAAGGCCGAUGGCGACCGGCGCACGGGUGAGUAACGCGUAUCCAACCUGCCUUACACUCUUGGACAGCCUUCUGAAAGGGAGAUUAAUACAAGAUGUUAUCAUGAGUAAGCGUUUUCACAUGAUUAAAGGUUUACCGGUGUAAGAUGGGGAUGCGUUCCAUUAG
rnacentral:rRNA from 1 species